GACGAACGCUGGCGGCGUGCUUAACACAUGCAAGUCGAACGGUAAGGCCCUUCGGGGUACACGAGUGGCGAACGGGUGAGUAACACGUGGGUGAUCUGCCCUGCACUUCGGGAUAAGCCUGGGAAACUGGGUCUAAUACCGGAUAGGACCACUGCCUGCAUGGGUGGUGGUGGAAAGCUUUUGCGGUGUGGGAUGGGCCCGCGGCCUAUCAGCUUGUUGGUGGGGCGAUGGCCUACCAAGGCGACGACGGGUAGCCGGCCUGAGAGGGUGACCGGCCACACUGGGACUGAGAUACGGCCCAGACUCCUACGGGAGGCAGCAGUGGGGAAUGUUGCACAAUGGGCGCAAGCCUGAUGCAGCGACGCCGCGUGAGGGAUGACGGCCUUCGGGUUGUAAACCUCUUUCAGCACCGACGAAGCGCAAGUGACGGUAGGUGCAGAAGAAGGACCGGCCAACUACGUGCCAGCAGCCGCCGUAA
rnacentral:rRNA from 1 species